ensembl:lncRNA
GUUUUUGUUGACCCUGUACCUUGUCAAAUUGACUCAGUAAAGCUGCCAGUAUAUUCUGGAACUCUAGCACAGAAGCAUGAAGCCUGCGGUGUGUCUGACAUGUUGCCUCCUUCUUCUUUCUGGAAUUAGAGACGGCGUGAAGGGUGUCAUCAAAAAAACCCUAGACUUUGAUGUGGGGGUCCUGUAUGAGUAUGAAUACAGCAUAUCCAUGGCAGUGGCUCCUAUUUCUGUGGACUUUGGAGAUGUCCCUCUGACCACCGCUGAGGCAGUAAUUCAGGUCCACUCACUAUGGAAGAACCCUCAGAACCAGGAAGAACAGCUCCUUCACAUUAAAAUUCAAGAUCUAAAACUUACUCCCAGUUCAACUGACACCACCAAACCCCUGGCUGUGGACGAGAAGACUGGUGGGUUUGCUCAGAUAAAGGAUGUAUUUAUUGUGCAUAUCCACUCUGGAAAGGUAUGUUUAUUCAUUUAG